CCAUAAAAAGCCUCCAAAGGGACAUUGUUUGGUGUUUGAAUUUAUAUUUAUAUAAUUUAUAUAAUUAUAUAUAUUCAACUGAAAAUAAAAAUAAAUAACAAUAAAAAGAUAAUGGACUUCGCCACCACCGUUACUCCCACUUUCCUUGAGCACGAAGAGGAAAUAAUCCGAUGCGGCGGUCAGACUGAUCUCAUCGUGCUCCUCGCGUAUAGUUGCUCAGAUCCUCGUCGGCGAUGACAGAGAUCUUCAUCUCUGUGCCUUACCUCUCUCUCUCUCUGCUUUAAAUCUGAAUUGGCUUUAUAUAUAUAUUGUCUGACCUCUGCAUAUCUUCGCCGCCGCUGCCGCCGGAAAGCGGACGGAGAAGAGAGAGCAAUAAAAAAAAAUGGAAUUGGUAAAGUGUAUUUUCCUGAGGAAAAUUAUUCUGCCAUUUUAAAAAAAGAAUAUUGUGCGCAUAUAUAUAUAUAUAUAGUGGGGUUGCAAAUCAAAUCGCUCUAAUCUAAUUACAAUAGCUUUACCUCUACAAAAGCUAGUAUUAAUUAGCAUAAAAAUAUAUUUUGCAAAUAUAAUAAAAUCUAAGCGAGGCCUCGUCGACGUCUCGCAAAUGAUUGAUUCUAAUUGGGAUUUGUUAGUGGCAAGGUUUG
rnacentral:lncRNA from 1 species